rnacentral:rRNA from 1 species
UACGUAGGGAGCAAGCGUUGUCCGGAUUUAUUGGGCGUAAAGAGCUCGUAGGCGGCUUAGCAAGUCAGGUGUGAAACCUCCAGGCUUAACCUGGAGACGCCACUUGAUACUGCUAUGGCUUGAGUUUGGUAGGGGAAGACGGAAUUCCUGGUGUAGCGGUGAAAUGCGCAGAUAUCAGGAGGAACACCAAUAGCGAAGGCAGCUCGCUGGGACGUUACUGACACUGAGGCGCGAAAGCGUGGGGAGCGAACAGG